rnacentral:ncRNA from 1 species
GACGCGGUGAACGAGUGUGCGCGCGGCGACGCGCGUUCUGAGAAUACAUCGUCCGAACUUGAUCACGGUAAUACGUGCGAGAAGGAUCACCGAACGUCGAGCG